rnacentral:rRNA from 1 species
GACGAACGCUGGCGGCGUGCUUAACACAUGCGAGUCGAACGGAAAGGCCCUUCGGGGUACUCGAGUGGCGAAAGGGUGAGUAACACGUGGGUGAUCUGCCCUACACUUUGGGAUAAGCCUGGGAAACUGGGUCUAAUACCGAAUAGGACCACGCGCUUCAUGGUGUGUGGUGGAAAGCUUUUGCGGUGUGGGAUGGGCCCGCGGCCUAUCAGCUUGUUGGUGGGGUCAGGGCCUACCAAGGCGACGACGGGUAGCCGGCCUGAGAGGGUGACCGGCCACACUGGGACUGAGAUACGGCCCAGACUCCUACGGGAGGCAGCAGUGGGGAAUAUUGCACAAUGGGCGCAAGCCUGAUGCAGCGACGCCGCGUGAGGGAUGACGGCCUUCGGGUUGUAAACCUCUUUCAAUAGGGACGAAGCGCAAGUGACGGUACCUAUAGAAGAAGCACCGGCCAACUACGUG